UCUGUUGGCAAGAAACGAUACAUUAAUAAAUAGGCGUGCCAAAUAAAUAACAUUGCUGUGUGAACUAAAAACUAUAAAAGUUUCAGUUUUCUCGCAUACAAAGUGGCGCCUCUAGCGGAAACUAUCAUGAAACUUUUGACAGAUAAUCUAUGCAGGUGACAGAAGAAAACAAAAAAAUUUUCGUUUACGUAAAUUGCAAAACCCGUACUAGAGGCCCUGAUACAGGAUGUGCUGCACCAUGAUUUUAUUUAUUUGGCUUUCCUAUGCAUUAUGCUGGUCUUCAGUUUCAAUAUCAUUUAAAUGACUUUAUUGUUUUAAAAUAAUGUAUUUCUACACUUACCUUCUCAUUAUAGAGGCAUGGCCCGGGGGCAGCGGCGGUAUUCCCGAAAAAAUAGGAAAGCUGAAAUUUAGAAGAAAAAAAAUAUUAAAUAAAGAUAUAAGAAGAGAUGUAAGAAGGCAAGCUGACAAUGGGAUGGUUCGCUGAAGCAUCGGCAAGCUGAAUGUGAGAUGGUAUGUUGAUGUCCUGUACAUUGACACGGAAAUGAGGCAUUGAAGAUGUUAUGUUGGGGACAAUGCAUGAUAGAACAG